AAUGAACGUUGGCGGCGUGGAUUAGGCAUGCAAGUCGCGCGACAAGGAACCUUCGGGUUCUGGAGGAGCGGCAAACGGGGUAGUAAGGCAUCGGAACGUACCCUCUUGUUGGGAAUAGCCGCGGGAAACUGCGAGUAAUGCCCAAUAAUCCCUACGGGGCAAAGGUCCGCCGCGUGAGGAGCGGCCGAUGCGAUACUAGAUAGUUGGUGGGGUAAUGGCCUACCAAGUCUAAGAUGUCUAGGGGGUGUGAGAGCAUGGCCCCCACCACUGGGACUGAGACACUGCCCAGACACCUACGGGUGGCUGCAGUCGAGAAUCUUUGGCAAUGGGCGCAAGCCUGACCAAGCGACGCUGCGUGCGGGAUGAAGGCCCUUGGGUUGUAAACCGCUGUCAGGGGGGAUCAAGGCGAAAGCUUGAGAGAGCCCCAGAGGAAGCACGGGCUAAGUUCGUG
rnacentral:rRNA from 1 species